ACCUUAUUGUAACGUGUUGAAUUCCUCUGCCACCAGUGUCUCUCAAGGGACCUCCAUCUGCAUUUGUUUGUGGCUGACUCUCAGUGACAUUUCCUCCUCCACCUGAUUGCCAAGAUGAUUUGUUUCUCACCUGAGUUUGAGCAGCCUGAGAGAGAAUGUCAAAAUCCAUCAAUCCCCUGACAAGCUUUGUACAUCCAAUCCCUCAGUUUUGCAGAAACAGAAACUGGAGAUCGGGGAAGUUAAUUAACAUGUUCAACGUUACGUGGUUGAGUCUCCACUUCAAGAAUCCAUCUCUUUACACUCACAUACACUGGAAGGAAUUCU